rnacentral:rRNA from 1 species
UACGGGGGGAGCAAGCGUUGUUCGGAUUUACUGGGCGUAAAGGGCGCGUAGGCGGCGCGACAAGUCACUUGUGAAAUCUCUGGGCUCAACCCAGAACGGUCAAGUGAUACUGUCGAGCUAGAGUGCGGAAGGGGCAACUGGAAUUCUUGGUGUAGCGGUGAAAUGCGUAGAUAUCAAGAGGAACACCUGCGGCGAAGGCGGGUUGCUGGGCCGACACUGGCGCUGAGGCGCGAAAGCUAGGGGAGCGAACGGG